AUUGAACGCUGGCGGCAUGCUUUACACAUGCAAGUCGAACGGCAGCGCGGGCUUCGGCCUGGCGGCGAGUGGCGAACGGGUGAGUAAUGCAUCGGAACGUGCCCAGUAGUGGGGGAUAGCCCGGCGAAAGCCGGAUUAAUACCGCAUACGACCUGAGGGUGAAAGCGGGGGACCGAAAGGCCUCGCGCUAUUGGAGCGGCCGAUGUCGGAUUAGCUAGUUGGUGGGGUAAAGGCUUACCAAGGCGACGAUCCGUAGCUGGUCUGAGAGGACGACCAGCCACACUGGGACUGGGACACGGCCCAAAAUCCUACGGGAGGCAGCAGGGGGGAAUUUUGGACAAUGGGGGCAACCCUGAUCCAGCCAUGCCGCGUGCGGGAAGAAGGCCUUCGGGUUGUAAACCGCUUUUGUUCGGGAAGAAAUCCUCUGGGCUAAUACCCCGGGGGGAUGACGGUACCGGAAGAAUAAGCACCGGCUAACUACGUG
rnacentral:rRNA from 1 species